UUCAUGUACUUAAGGUAUAUAAUGAACAUUGAUGCUGUUAAAGACAGCAAUCCUUAAGGAUCAUUGGGUAUUUUGCUAAUUCAUUCCAUGACUAGAAGCAUUUUGGAUUGGAACACCCUAAACUCAUGUCAUGCACUAUAGAUAUCAAUCAAGUAUAUUGGCUACCGCAUUCGUGCUAAUUAGGAAUGCAGAACUUCUUCUGUUUUUGAUGAUAAUGAAACUUCAGGCAUGCGGAACUUGCACAAAGGGCAAAACCCCCUAUGCUGCAGCCAUUCUACAAUGCAACCCUCAUGGUAAAGAUGUGCACAAGGCAUUUUAGUUGCUCCGGAACCAACCCUAAUCUCCUCCAUACAAACCGAACACACUAUGGAUGGCUCUUGGAUUAUAUCGUCCUCUCCAGUUUCUCAUAAUGAUCAUCAAUCACAAACAUAUCGAUGUUCACUCGCAUCCGCAGUCUCUUCCCACCGGCAUAAGGACUAGGUUUCUGCGCCACCUCGGAGGCUUUCAACAUUACUUUAUUCACCAACGAACUACGCUCCUGCCGUGGGACUAGCAGCUGUAGAAGCGCUUCGGAUAGGGCUUCAUCCAUGUAUGCUGGGUCGUUAGAGUCGUCAAGUUCGAUCGAGGUCCUCUUCGUGAUCACCUGGUCGGAACUGACACGUCUGGUCACCGCCUCGAAUUGCAUCAAGAACUUAUUCGUGGUGCAUACAAACUCCUUUUCUGGUUCAAUGAAGGUGACAAGUAUGUCGCAGAAAGUGUCGAUGGCCAUGGCCUGGAUGUUAUGUUCUCUUUCACAAAGCCCCGCCUAUGAAAAUGGUAAGAAUUCGGGCCAAUAUUUAUAUAGAGAGAUCGAAUUGACUGGUGUCCGAAUUGGAUUGGGAUUCCAUAUCUUAUAUAUUGGGACUCCUAAUUACUGCAAGCUUAACUCUUUCUUUAUGAGAAGCCAGAAAAUUCAGAAAACUCUAAUAGAUCAUAUAUCUCUGGUUUGCCCUUCUUGUACGUACAAGGUGGUUGUUGUAUGUGACAUGCAUUUUCCAGCUACACAUAUAUUGAGAACAUUACUGCUGUCAAAGACAGAUACAAGAGAUAUCUGAGAAUGCUGGUUAAAGAAAUACUGCAAUAAACGUAGGUACGUACGUAGAACAAAAUACUCAUAGAUUGGAAUAAGAUAUGACAUUAAUCGCAACAAAUUACAAAGAAAUAUCCAAUUACAAAUAACGAUCACUUGGGGGUAGUUUGCUAAUUCUUUCCUUAACUAGAAGGAUUUCAUUUGGUACUCGUUUCGUGACUCAUGACUAUAGCUAUCUUUCGACAUUGGCUGCUGCGCACCAUUCUUGCUUAUUUGGCAUGAGGAACCUCUUCGAUCAGUUUCUCAAUCGACAAUCAUACCACCCCCAUCGACAUCAUCAUCAUCAUCGAUCACAUACAUAUCGAUGUUCACCCUCAUACGCAGUCUCUUCCCACCGGCACAAGGACUGAGAUUUCGUGCCGCCUCGGAGGCUUUCAACAUUACAUUCUCCACCAUGAAGUUACGCUCCUCCAGUGGGACUUGUAGUUGUUGAAGCGUUUCGGAUAGGGUUGCCUCCAUGUACGAUGAGUCAGAGUCGUCAAGUUCGAUUGAGGUCGUAUUCACUAUCUCGCGGGGGAUGACGUCGUCGUCUAGGAGUCGGUCCGCCUCGUCGGAGGUGACACGUCUGAUCACCGCCUCAAAUUCCAUCAAGAACGUAUUGGUGUUGCUGCAUAGAAACUCGUUUUCUGGUUCUGUGAAGCCGACAAGUACGUUGCAGAAAGCAUCGCCCACCACUUUCCAGUAGUCACUGGCCAUAGCCAUAUUCUUGAAUAGAUUGAAACUUCGAAGAAGACUAGAUUGAAACUUUGAAGAAGAAGAAUAAAGGAAACAGAAUAAGAAAGAUGAAGGCUGAUGUACUAGAUGAUAUGUUUUUGUUCUCUGUUUUCACAAAGCCACUUCUAUGAAAAAUGGUAAGAAGUGAGGGUUAUAUAUAGGGAUAGAGAUCGAUGACUGUUUCCGAAUUGGAGUGGGAUUCCCAUAUUUUUACCGACUUUGGGAUUCCUAAUUAUUCAAGGUUUAAGUCUUUGUAUUGAUGACCAAGAAAAGUAAAAAUUACACUCUUCCCUAGCAAGCUAGCUUCAUCAUUCCCAAGGCACGGUUAGUGAACACGGUUUCACUGACCUUGGUGAACACGGUGUGUUGCAUUACCUUAUCAAGUACGUCUAGCAAAGACGUACGUGAACUUUCGAUUCGAUUCUGCUUCAACAUGUACAGUGUUUGCCGUAAAUAAUAUAUACACUACAGUCACCUCCACAAACCAUAUGUAUAUAUAGUGGCUAGCUCUCUUACUACAAGUCAUAGCCAGACUUCCGAGAAGCCCGUUUCUGUUGUUCUGAUCAAUUUCUUGUUUGAAAGAGUAGCUAGGGAUGGAUCUAUCCGAUAACGUUUUUGAAAACGAUUUUCAAUUAAAAAAGGUCUUAGAAAAUAAAAAUGAGAAAAUGAGAUUAUAUUUUAUAAUUUAGAAAUGCAUUCGGUAAUUUAUUAUGAAUAGUAUUUUUCAUAUUUUCUAAACUAAGAAAACGAAAAAGUGAAAACGUCAAAUUGGUGUUUUCAGUCUUUCUUUGUAAAAGUUGAAAAUAUUUUCAUUUCUCAUUUUCAACGUUUUCAGAAAUGUCUCAUUGAACACAUUUUCAUUUAAAAAAAAUGAAAAUACAAGCAUGAAAAAGUUACCGAACGCCACCUAAUAUUAUCUUGAUCGAUCUUGUAAACUUUGUUUGUAUCAGACUGUUUAUGUUUGAAAUCAGUUAAGCCAACGGAAUGCAUGUAUAUGAAUAAGACUGUUUAUGUUUGAAAUCAGUUAAGCCAAUGGAAUGCAUGUAUCUGAAUAAGAUAGGAUGAUAUUGGUAUAUGAUCUAUUGGCAUCCCUAUACAAAAGAGGAGAAGUGUGAACAAGGAAGUUCUAAUUUGAUUAGGACUUAUAUAUAUAUGGUUAAAUAUUUGAUUGAUGAGCAUUGAUGCAUUAAUUAUAUAUAUGAUUUGAUUUGAUUUAGUUAAACUCCCAGGUUGGUGCGUGCAAGCAAAGGUAUUUUCACCAUGACAUAUGGAUAUAUAUCUAUGUUUAAAUGGAUACGAUAUGACAUGCACAUGGGAAGAAGUCUUAAGUAUAUCUGAUUUGAUUAUUACGUUGAGAGACAAUGAUCCUAAUUUGAUUAAGAUGUUGAUUUUAUUGAAUCAGAUGCACUUGAGAAGGAAUGUAACCUAAUAUUAGGGUUUAUUAAUGCAUGAAAUGAAUGAAACUUAAUAUGAUUAGGUUUUCUAUUCCUUUAAUUAUUAGAUUUGAUAUUAUUUGAUAUAUGAGAUAUAUUUGAUUGAUUUGGUGAUUGUGCAGUUUGAAAGAUUUCUUUUUAAGAAACUAAAUGGGUUUAUGACGUUGAUGAUGAGAAGAUGUCUUGUACAAGAGUUUUAAACGUCUAUAAGGAGACGUAGCAGCUUGUUUGAAGACCACUUUUUGCACAAUUAUUCUUAGAAAACUAUCUUUGCACGCAUAUCGUUUAAGAGAUACUAUUUCCGCUGCAAUACUUUGUAAUUAAGGUCUGAAGUUCAACUGUUUCGUGUUGAGUUGAACUUCUUGUUUAUGUGAUUGAAGGAUCAAUGACGUGGUUAGUUCAUUGGAGAUUGAAGAAGAAGAUUACAUGAAGAAACAGAGUGCUUCAAACAUAUCUGCUAGGGUUAUAGAGAUAGUAGCCGUGGUUAGUGCUACAAAGUUUGUAAUUAACUCGUUCUUGAUUUAUAGUGAAUUCUCUUUUCAUUAGGGUUUUAUGAGUUAAAGCCCCGUUAGUGUUUUUCCUUAAAUUGAGGUUUCACUGGGUAAACAAAUUGUUGUGUUAUUUAUUUUCGUUUCUGUCAAGUACGACGAGGUUUCAAUCCCAAUACCCAGAAAACACCCAUUUAACUCUCUUUAAGUGGUACUAGAGCAGGUCACCAGAUAUACUUGGUGAGAUCCGUGGGUUAGUUAAAAGAUGGAAUAUGAUGCAGCUCUUGGUUCGAUCAAUUGUCCUCGUCUCUCUAAUGAUGCAUUGGGUAAGUCAUCUUGAGGUAAAAUCUUUUUUUUUCUUCUUCCAUCGAUAAUGAUAUGAAGACUUCUGUUGAUAUGGAUGAGUAUAAGCAUUUAAUCAAAGAAUUUAAGAUGUUCCUUAAAAACAGAAAGUCUUCUACUAACCUCUCCAAAUCUUCACCUGUUGAAAAAUCUAAGUGUUGUGAUUGUGGUGUUUUUGACCAAUCUUUGUGCAAGUGUGAUUACAGGUGUCAUGGAUCAGAAAGUAACGAUAAGUUGAAGUCUCAGAAUGAACUACAACUCAGUCUCAAAGUUUCUUCAAUGAGUGCACCAAAAGAAAAAUUAUUGUCUGCUGGGAUUGAAGGACUAGUUUCAAUCCCGGGACAUACUGAUUUUAAGCAUAACGUUGCUUUUGUUGAAAACUGUUCUAAAAGUUAUUUGUUUGCUUAUGUUGAUAAUUCUUGUAUGACUGAUGCCUCUCUUUGUUUUUGUAACAUGUGUAGUUAACUAGAAAUUUUGUAUAUGUCUCUUUCUGGCUAAUUCAUUUGCUCAUCUUUUCUUUUAGUGCUAAAUGAAGGAUGGUGCUUUGGUAAUUGCACGUAACUGUAGCUUAAGGGUAUUGGGUAUUCAAUUCAAUUAGAUAUACAAAAUAUGUAUUAUGUGGUACUCAAUCUUAAACUUUACUAUGAGACUAUGAUCAAAAGCUCCACCAGUGAUUCACUUAUUAAACAUCCACGAGUGAAAAAUAACUUGACAUUUUGGGGACCCUUGAACUGAUUUCGAUAUUCCUAUAUACUUUUAGAUGCUUAGCAUUGUUCUAUGAUAUCAUAUAUUGGAGACUAAUUAUAGUGUAUUGUAUGAUUAUUAAUUAACUUGUUCAAUGUCUAAUCUUUGUUUGUUUGUUUUACAGGAGUUGCUAGUCUCUCGACCACUUUCAAAGACAGCAGUUUUAGUCUCAACUACUUCCAACAAACUCUGGUUUAACUAGCCGAUCGAAAACAGCUUGUGUUAUCUUUUUUUUUUCUUUUUCUUUUUUGUUCUUUCUCUAAUUAAGCUUAUGUAUAUUUGAAUUUGUAGAGAAGCAAUAAAAAUUACAUUGAUGGAAGUUGUCUUUCUGGUGUGUGUGAUAUUUUUUGUCAAUAGCCAAAAAGAUAUAUAUAUAUAUAUAUAUAUUGAUUUUCUGCAUUUAAGAAAAUCAAUUUAAUUUUUUUAAAAAAAUUAGAAAAACCUUUUCAUGGUCGUUUCAUAAACGUCAUUGAAUGUACCUUUGAUGGCAUUUUGACAACGCCGUUGAAUUUAAUGGCGUUUUGGAAACGUCAUUGAUUCUGAAUAUAUGACGUUUCCAAAACGCCAUGGAUUGUUUUUAACGGCGUUUUUAAAAACGCCAUAAAAAAGACGGCGUCACUAUAGACAGCGUUAAGGGACGGCGACGAAAAACGCCAUGAAUUGGUUUCCAUGACGUUUUCAAACGCCCUUGGAUGACAUUCUGUGUAGUAGUACGAGGGUUGCAUCCUCAUUACAAAUUUCGGCUCACAAGGAGCUUAUAAUCUAAUAACAAAUAGAUCAUAGGCUAAGAUCCCACCUAGAAAACUAGAAAAAGAUUAAAAGAAAGAUAUAUAUAUAUAUAUAUAUGACAUUAUAUAUUCACAUCAAAAUACGAAGAAAUAUUCAAUUACAAAAAAUGAUCACCAUUUGGUAUCGGUUUGGAAAACCCUAAACUCACUCACUCAUGUCAUGACUAUAGCUAUCAACAUUGGCAAAUUCGCACCGUUCUUGCUAGGGCAUGCGAAACUUGCACAAAGGGCAAACCCCACUUUGCUGCAGCCACUCCACAAUGCAUGCUUCAUGGUAAAGAUGUAAACAAGGCAUUUUAGUUGCUUCGAACCCAAGCAUCAUCUCCUCCAUACAAACCGAACACAUUGUUGAUGGCACUUGGACUCUCGUCCUCUCCAGUUUCUCAAUUGACAUUGUACUCGCCGGAACAAAUCUAGGCUCAUAAGAAUCACCGAUUAUACCACCAACACCACCAUUUGCUUCCUCAUCAAUAUCAUCAUCGACCACAUACAAAUCGAUGUCCACCCGCAUGCGCACUCUCUUUCCACCGGCAUUCUGUGCCGCCUCUGAGGCUCUGAACAUUACUUUCUUCACCAUGCAGCUACGCUCCUCCAGAGGGACUUGCAGUUGUUGAAGCGUUUCGGAUAAGACUGCAUCCAUGUAGGAUGAGUCAGAGUCGUCAAGUUCGAUUGAGGUCAUAUUCACGAUCUGGCGGGGGAUGAUGUCGUCAUCUAG
rnacentral:lncRNA from 1 species